rnacentral:tRNA from 1 species
GCGCCAGGUAGUGUAGUGGUCAUAACACUGGCUUGUGACCUCCGCAGUCAGAGGCUGUGGGUUCAGAUCUCGUCUCGCGCC